AUGUUUGUUUCUGCCCUCUGGUUUCGUCUCUAGGAAACAGUAAGGGGUGGGGGUAGGGUGGGGGGGGAACAGAAGAGGUCAACAGUGGUUUCCAAGGUUCCCAGAACCCUAACAUUCUGGGUUCUCUUUAGAGAACUGUCACCACUACUUGCUCAGUAGCGAGGAGUGGGGAGUCACGGAGACCUCCUCCUGCUGCUGGCUCUUCAGCUGGGAGUAGAGAUUAUGAUUCCUAAUAAUUCUCUCUGUGAACGCUGACUGUGUACGGCCUUCAGCACACACAGCGAGAGAAGUGGAGACCGGAGACAGCGCAAGACAUCGUGAACUUGCUGAAAAGGUGAGCUCACCCACCGUGG